UACGUAGGGUGCAAGCGUUAAUCGGAAUUACUGGGCGUAAAGCGUGCGCAGGCGGUUUUGUAAGUCUGACGUGAAAUCCCCGGGCUCAACCUGGGAAUUGCGUUGGAGACUGCAAGGCUAGAAUCUGGCAGAGGGGGGUAGAAUUCCACGUGUAGCAGUGAAAUGCGUAGAGAUGUGGAGGAACACCGAUGGCGAAGGCAGCCCCCUGGGUCAAGAUUGACGCUCAUGCACGAAAGCGUGGGGAGCAAUCAGG
rnacentral:rRNA from 1 species